rnacentral:lncRNA from 1 species
GAUUCUUCUCAGCACCUCCAAAAAGCAGCACAGCCUUCCUACACCUCUAUUUUAACCCAGUGAGAUCUGCAUUACACUUCUGACCUCUACAACUGUCAUUAAUCAUCAUAUUUAUUCUACCUCAUCCGAUUAUGAAAAACUUUUCCUGGAUUGAGUAAAGAGCAGAGUCUCUCUCUAUCUGCUGAGCUGCCUGAAGCUAGACAUAAACACCUCUGUGGCCACUACCACUGAGACUGCACUGGGUCAGAACUGAAGCCAACACAGCACUUGGUCUCACCCAAAGCCCAGUGUAACCACUACCUGGCUACUGCUUCUGUUUGCUCAAGGCCCUAGGACUCUAUAAUCAGCAGGCAGAGGAGCCUUUCCUCGUGGCCACCACCACCAGAGACUCAAGAGAGGUACUACCAGGCUAUCACAGAUAUUCACUUAAAGACCACAAGGGCUCUUCAGUCAGCCUGUGGUGAAGCCAUCAGGCCUGCGACUCACCCUUCAGGGCAAUGGGUUCCCCUUUGGCCCAGAACAUGUUGAGAAAUGCCACCCAAGAGCCAAGGCCUAGAAUCAGGGAAGUCAAUAGCCCUCUUUGUGCUCUACCCAAUGUGGCCAAGCUGGUGCCUGAAGCCAGCAUAUCUCAGAGACUCACCCAAGGCCCAUGACUAACUAUGUAGGUAUUGCUGCUGGUUCUUCAAGGCCCAAGGGCAUUUUUGUCAGCAGGUGAUUAAUCCUGCCAGACUGGCUUCUUUCCUUAAGGUAGCAAGUUCUCAUCUGGUCUAGGGUAUGUCUAGAUAUGUUGUUCAGGAGCUAGGGCCUGGAAUGGGGGACUCAUGACUCUUCCCAGUGCCCUAUCCUAAUAUGACUGACCUGGUAACCAAGAUGCAAGACAAAGUCCCCCUUACUCUUCUUUCCCUCCUCCUCUCCUCAAGUAAAAUAAAGGAGUCAUUUUUGU